GUGAGGAAUAUUGCGCAAUGGAGGCAACUCUGACGCAGCCAUGCCGCGUGCAGGAAGAAGGCGCUACGCGUUGUAAACUGCUUUUAACCGGGAAGAAACCCCAGGACGUGUCCUGGGUUGACGGUACCGGAGGAAUAAGCACCGGCUAACUUCGUGCCAGCAGCCGCGGUAAUACGAAGGGUGCAAGCGUUAUCCGGAUUCAUUGGGCUUAAAGGGUGCGUAGGCGGAGCGUUAAGUCAGUGGUGAAAUCCUGCAGCUUAACUGUAGACUUGCCAUUGAUACUGGCGCUCUUGAGUGCGCUUGAAGUGGGCGGAAUGUGCCGUGUAGCGGUGAAAUGCUUAGAUAUGGCACAGAACACCAAUUGCGAAGGCAGCUCACUAAGGCGAUACUGACGCUGAGGCACGAAAGCGUGGGGAUCGAACAGGAUUAGAUACCCUGGUAGUCC
rnacentral:rRNA from 1 species